rnacentral:rRNA from 1 species
GGGGUGGGGGGGGGGGCUAAUAAUGCAGUCGAGCGAACAGAUAAGGAGCUUGCUCCUUUGACGUUAGCGGCGGACUGGGUGAGUAACACGUGGAUAACCUACCUAUAAGACUGGGAUAACUUCGGGAAACCGGAGCUAAUACCGGAUAAGAUUUUGAACCGCAUGGUUCAAUAGUGAAAGACGGCCUUGCUGUCACUUAUAGAUGGAUCCGCGCCGUAUUAGCUAGUUGGUAAGGUAACGGCUUACCAAGGCAACGAUACGUAGCCGACCUGAGAGGGUGAUCGGCCACACUGGAACUGAGACACGGUCCAGACUCCUACGGGAGGCAGCAGUAGGGAAUCUUCCGCAAUGGGCGAAAGCCUGACGGAGCAACGCCGCGUGAGUGAUGAAGGUCUUCGGAUCGUAAAACUCUGUUAUCAGGGAAGAACAAACGUGUAAGUAACUGUGCACGUCUUGACGGUACCUGAUCAGAAAGCCACGGCUAACUACGUGCCAGCAGCCGCGGUAAUACGUAGGUGGCAAGCGUUAUCCGGAAUUAUUGGGCGUAAAGCGCGCGUAGGCGGUUUUUUAAGUCUGAUGUGAAAGCCCACGGCUCAACCGUGGAGGGUCAUUGGAAACUGGAAAACUUGAGUGCAGAAGAGGAAAGUGGAAUUCCAUGUGUAGCGGUGAAAUGCGCAGAGAUAUGGAGGAACACCAGUGGCGAAGGCGACUUUCUGGUCUGUAACUGACGCUGAUGUGCGAAAGCGUGGGGAUCAAACAGGAUUAGAUACCCUGGUAGUCCACGCCGUAAACGAUGAGUGCUAAGUGUUAGGGGGUUUCCGCCCCUUAGUGCUGCAGCUAACGCAUUAAGCACUCCGCCUGGGGGAGUACGACCGCAAGGUUGAAACUCAAAGGAAUUGACGGGGGACCCGCACAAGCGGUGGAGCAUGUGGUUUAAUUCGAAGCAACGCGAAGAACCUUACCAAAUCUUGACAUCCUUUGACCGCUCUAGAGAUAGAGUUUUCCUCCUUCGGGGGACAAGUGACAGGUGGUGCAUGGUUGUCGUUCAGCUCGUGUCGUGGAGAUGUGGGUAGUCCCGCAACGAGGCGCAACCUUAGCUUAGUUGGCCAUCAUUUAGUUGGUCACUCUAAGUGAACUUGCCGGGUGACUAGUCGGGAAGGGGAAGGGUGGGGAAUGUGAACCUUC